rnacentral:rRNA from 1 species
CCUACGGGAGGCAGCAGUAGGGAAUCUUCCGCAAUGGACGAAAGUCUGACGGAGCAACGCCGCGUGAACGAAGAAGGUUUUCGGAUCGUAAAGUUCUGUUGUUAGAGAAGAACACGCAGAACAGUAACUGGUUCUGCGCUGACGGUAUCUAACCAGAAAGUCACGGCUAACUACGUGCCAGCAGCCGCGGUAAUACGUAGGUGACAAGCGUUGUCCGGAUUUAUUGGGCGUAAAGCGAGCGCAGGCGGUCUUUUAAGUCUGAUGUGAAAGCCCACGGCUCAACCGUGGAUGGUCAUUGGAACCUGGAAGACUUGAAUGCAGAAGAGGUAAGUGGAAUUCCAUGUGUAGCGGUGAAAUGCGUAGAUAUAUGGAAGAACACCAGUGGCGAAGGCGGCUGUCUGGUCUGUAACUGACGCUGAGGCUCGAAAGUAUGGGGAGCGAACAGGAUUAGAUACCCGAGUAGUC